AACGAACGCUGGCGGCAUGCCUAACACAUGCAAGUCGAACGAACCCUUCGGGGUUAGUGGCGCACGGGUGCGUAACACGUGGGAAUCUGCCCUUUGCUUCGGAAUAACAGUUAGAAAUGACUGCUAAUACCGGAUGAUGUCGCAAGACCAAAGAUUUAUCGGCAAAGGAUGAGCCCGCGUAGGAUUAGCUAGUUGGUGGGGUAAAGGCCUACCAAGGCGACGAUCCUUAGCUGGUCUGAGAGGAUGAUCAGCCACACUGGGACUGAGACACGGCCCAGACUCCUACGGGAGGCAGCAGUGGGGAAUAUUGGACAAUGGGCGAAAGCCUGAUCCAGCAAUGCCGCGUGAGUGAUGAAGGCCUUCGGGUUGUAAAGCUCUUUUACCAGGGAUGAUAAUGACAGUACCUGGAGAAUAAGCUCCGGCUAACUCCGUGCCAGCCGCCGCCGUAA
rnacentral:rRNA from 1 species